UUAAAAGUCCCGUUGAUUCUGGGAGGCUAGGAUUUGGUUGCUGUGGGUGGAAUGUGUGGUGUAAGCGGUGAAAUGCUUAGAGAUCACACAGAAUAUCGAUUGCGAAGGCAGCUCACAAAGCCAAGAUUGACGUUGAGGCACGAAAGUGUGGGGAUCAAACAGGAUUAGAUACCCUGGUAGUCCACACUGUAAACGAUGAUAACUCGCUGUCGGCGAUAUACAGUCGGUGGCCAAGCGAAAGCGAUAAGUUAUCCACCUGGGGAGUACGACCGCAAGGUUGAAACUCAAAGGAAUUGACGGGGGCCCGCACAAGCGGAGGAACAUGUGGUUUAAUUCGAUGAUACGCGAGGAACCUUACCCGGGCUCGAACGGUGCAGGAAUAUGGUAGAGAUAUCAUAGCUAGCAAUAGUCUGUAUCGAGGUGCUGCAUGGUUGUCGUCAGCUCGUGCCGUGAGGUGUCGGCUUAAGUGCCAUAACGAGCGCAACCCUUGUCAUUAGUUACCAUCAGGUCAAGCUGGGGACUCUAAUGAGACUGCCACCGUAAGGUGAGAGGAAGGGGGGGAUGACGUCAAAUCAGCACGGCCCUUAUGUCCGGGGCGACACACGUGUUACAAUGGGGGGUACAGAGGGCAGCCAUCCGGCGACGGAGCGCCAAUCUCAAAAACCCUUCUCAGUUCGGAUUGGAGUCUGCAACCCGACUCCAUGAAGUUGGAUUCGUUAUUAAUCGCG
rnacentral:rRNA from 1 species